GCACACUCAGCCCUCCCAUCACUGGAGAGAGAUGUGAGGACGCCCCUCUAUGUGUAUGUGGGGCGACAUGGAGGCCUCAAAGCGCUUAGCUGUGUGUGACUGAAUGAAGCUGAAAGAUUGACUUCAGUGAAGCCUAAACUAACUGUCAGUGUUUGAAAUUUAGGUUUUUGCAGCAAGUAAAAGCACAGUGAAGUUAUGAGCAACUUACUGCCUGGUUAAACUUUUGUCAUUUAUUUAGGAAAAGGACAUAAAACAAUUGAUUCAUGCACAUAGAGGCUGUUAAAGCAUAGAAAUAAGGCAGUGGCAUGUGUGGGGGCAACCUUUAGUAAAUCAAUUUGUUCAUGAAAUCAAUGUUGCUUAUUUAAUUAAUUUAUGUAUUACUUUAUUUGUUUAUUUAUUGGGACAUUGUGAAAAAAUUUGAACAAGAAGGAAUUGAAUGUGUUUGAAGCUUCCGUGGUCUCACUAAGCAGUUUACAAGGAAAUUGCGAAACAGACAAAACAAAAGCAUUUGUAUGCUUAUAUAUAUAUAUAUAUAUAUAUAUAUAUAUAUAUAUAUAUAUAUAUAUAUAUAUAUAUAUAUAUAUAUAUAUAUACAGUGUGUUCAUUUACUUUUCAUUUACUGAGUAUAACAUCAGAAGAAUGUUAAUGUUUUUGCUGUAAUUUUGCUUUUCUUAGCUGACGUCGUUUACUCUGGAAAGUUUCCUCUUUGUGCCAGUCUCCAACGCCACCUCAUUUUUGUACAGAAAAUGCAAAGGCAGAAGAUGAAGGUUAAAUUUGUAGAGAUUCUGUCUGUCACACUACAAAAAUGGAUAUUUAAAUGUUUAUAUCUUUGUUCAUUAAAUGCUGUUGAUAUUUUUCACUUCAGCUAUGAUUCCUUAUUGUUCUUUACUGAUUUAUUUCAAGACAGUGUCUCGAGGUUCGGCCCUUGGACACAUUAGUGGCGGCCGCCAACGUCAGAUGAAAUACUAGUAAGCACAAAUGUUUCAGGAAAAGUGUCAGUAUCAUAAAAAAAUCCUAUGUAGGAACGUAUAAAACUAAUAGUAUAUGAUAAAGAAGUCGUUAAUGACGUCCUACUAGGACAUUGAAAUACAAAAACAUUUUAUAUUCAAAAUGUCAUGUAAAUAGUCAUAGUACAGUAUGUCAUAAAAAAAAGUCAUAAUAUAGUAUUUUAAAAACAUUUCAUGUAAAAAAAAAAAAUCUUAAAAAAAAGAUCCAAAAUUUCCAAAUACGUUUUUUCAACAAAAACAUCAUAAAUAUUUGUUAUAAUAUAGUAUGACAAAUAAAAGGACAUACAAUGGUCUUUUAUAUUAUGUCAAAAUAAUGUCAUGUAAAAGUCAAACUAUAAUAUGUCAAUAAAUGUCACUUGAAAAGAACAUCUCUUCCACCAUCUAAUUCAGAGAUAUUCGGUGUCAGCUGUCAGAGAUUAUAACAUAGAGAGUAUUGGGAGGCUUGGCGAGGACCAGAAAAGAAAUCCGAGAGUCAGGCAGCUUGUGUGAAUGUCAUGGACAUUUGCUCAUAAUGUCAGUCAGUAAAGAUAUCAAAACGCUCAGCGGAGGUCGUCAGGGGAAAGAUGAUAGGUCGCUGGCGGACAUUAAAAGCUCUAUGUGGGACUUUUGUUUUGACUCCUCUGAUUUAUCGAACAAACAGUCCUGCAGGCCAGCUGGUUUCUAUGGUUUUGUUUGGAUUAGUUAUACGCUCCGUCCAGCAGGCAUUGUGCCUCGUUGUGGGGCUUUAAGAGAAAUGCGUCGUCUGAUAUAGCCAUGAUAUCAGACCCUCAGUGUUUGGCAAAGCAGUUUGGCUCAUUUCAUUUUAAUGCAUCAUAUGAAGUAUAACCAGCAGACCUCAGAGGCUCGUCUCUCACAAGCUCAACAUCAGAGAUACUGAGCAGAAGCUUUCAGGAGAGACGAGGUCUGCUGCAGAACAUAACUCCCGGUUGGAUUCAGGAGCAAACAGGUGCGGUAAGAUUAGUGGUGGCCAGCUGUCGUUGGUCACAAUGUCAAUGAAACGGAGCCACACAGCACUGGAUGGUGGCUUUCAUCCCAGAAGAUCUGUGUACUUUAACUCCUACUCUGCUUUGAGGAAGAGCAGUGUUGCGCUCAAUAAAACACACUUCAUCUUCCCUCA